GAUGAACGCUAGCGGCAGGCUUAAUACAUGCAAGUCGAGGGGCAGCAAGUCUUCGGAUGUUGGCGACCGGCAAACGGGUGCGGAACACGUACACAACUUACCUUUUAGUGGGGGAUAGCCCAGAGAAAUUUGGAUUAAUACCCCGUAAGAUAUUUGGGUGGCAUCACUUGGAUAUUAUAGAUUUAUUGCUAGGAGAUAGGUGUGCGUCUGAUUAGGUAGUUGGUAGGGUAACGGCCUACCAAGCCAACGAUCAGUAGCUGAUGUGAGAGCAUGAUCUGCCACACGGGCACUGAGACACGGGCCCGACUCCUACGGGAGGCAGCAGUAAGGAAUAUUGGACAAUGGACGCAAGUCUGAUCCAGCCAUGCCGCGUGAAGGAUUAAGGUCCUCUGGAUUGUAAACUUCUUUUAUAGGGGGCGAAAAUGGGUUUUUCUAGAUCAACUGACGGUACCCUAUGAAUAAGCACCGGCUAACUCCGUGCCAGCAGCCGCGGUAAUACGGAGGGUGCAAGCGUUAUCCGGAUUCACUGGGUUUAAAGGGUGCGUAGGCGGGUAAUUAAGUCAGUGGUGAAAUCCUGGAGCUCAACUCCAGCACUGCCAUUGAUACUAUUUAUCUUGAAUAUUGAGGAGGUAUGCGGAAUAUGUCAUGUAGCGGUGAAAUGCUUAGAUAUGACAUAGAACACCGAUUGCGAAGGCAGCAUGCUACUCAUAUAUUGACGCUGAGGCACGAAAGCGUGGGGAUCAAACAGGAUUAGAUACCCUGGUAGUCCACGCCCUAAACUAUGAUACUCGACAUUAGCGAUACACAGUUAGUGUCUGAGCGAAAGCAUUAAGUAAUCCACCUGGGAAGUACGACCGCAAGGUUGAAACUCAAAGGAAUUGGCGGGGGUCCGCACAAGCGGUGGGAGC
rnacentral:rRNA from 1 species